CUACACCCAAGGCAGAGUCUGCUAGAACUCCUGCUUGACUUUCCAUGGCCGAUUCCGGUGACACAGUCCAACCAAACACGCACCAACACGACAGCGACCCGAGCAGAGCCGUGGCGCCCCGCCUCAUCCCACCUUCCUUCCUCAUCCCUUUCUUGCUUGAUCCACCUCGCCUCUUCAUCCUCCGCCCAAGUUUUCAACCACGUCUCGUUGCGGGCGAACAGGUCCUGAAUCGGUUCUCCGCGCCCGAUUUCUUCGCAUCCCAGUGGCCGUGUACUUCUAAAUGGGGAGCCGGCGGUGGGUCGCGGCGGCGGCGGCGGCGGCCGUGGGGGCGCUCUUGCUGCUGUCCGUAGCCUCUCACGGAGCACGGAGAGGACACAGUGUCGACAGCAACAACCGGACUUUUGUUUUUAACUAUACCCUAGCGAAGACUAUUGUGGAAUAUGCGUCAGCUGUGUAUAUGACGGACCUAACAGCUCUAUAUACAUGGACAUGCUCAAGAUGUAAUGACUUGACUAAAGGCUUCGAGAUUAGGUGUAUAAUUGUCGAUAUCCAGAACUGUUUGCAGGCAUUCAUUGGUGUUGAUCAUAAUCUCAAUGCUGUAAUCGUUGCAAUCAGGGGAACUCAAGAGAACAGUGUACAGAACUGGAUUAAGGACCUGGUAUGGAAGCAGGUUGACCUAAACUAUCCAAACAUGCCUGAUGCGAAGGUCUUUGGCACGAACUUGAUAUAUAUACUCUGUUUUUUUACAAGAGUAGGAUAUGCUUUUAUUUAUUUUCUGAUGAGGUUUAUGUUCUGGUUAAAGGUCCACACUGGAUUUUACUCUGCUUACAAUAAUACACUUUUACGUCCAGCCAUCACAAAUGCUGUUCGCAAGGCAAGGAGAUUGUAUGGCGAUAUUAGCGUGAUAGUUACAGGGCAUUCGAUGGGAGGAGCUAUCGCUUCUUUCUGUGCACUUGAUCUCGCUAUUAGCCUUGGAAGUGACAGUGUUCAUCUCAUGACUUUCGGGCAACCACGUAUCGGCAAUGCUGCUUUUGCCUCCUACUUUGAACAAUAUGUGCCCACUGCGAUCCGAGUGACACAUGAACAUGAUAUUGUGCCUCAUUUGCCCCCUUAUUUCUUCUUCCUCCCGCACCUGACAUACCACCACUUCCCUAGAGAGCCAAAUGCACUCUAGAUAUUUUGUAAUUGGACACUGAUGACAGAGCACAGAAUCAGCGGGACACCUGGUACUCCUAAAGUGAUAUAAACAUCCGCAUGAUGUGCGAUACAAUACACUUGAACACCAGUUACCAUGCAUAACAUUAGUCACCAAGCAUUACUAUUGUGAAAUGCAGUAGUUUACCAUUGCAUUGUCUUUGUUUUAACCAGACUAUCUAUAUGAACAUCUUGCUCUGAAUUGAUUUUGGAAAGAUCUCUUACUAUAAAUCUGUUAUACAUCCUUGAAUCACCAUCCAAUGUGCAUUCAAAUUUCAGGUAUGGGAACAUGAUGUUGAUGGCAACACAACCUUCCGAGUUUGCGACAGCAGCGGAGAAGAUCCAGAUUGUUGCAGGAGCGUGUUUGCGUUGUUCCUCAGCGCCUCAGACCAUCUGACCUACAUGGGUGUUGAGAUAGCAGCAGAUGACUGGAGCACCUGCAGAAUCGUCAUGGCCCACAGCGUCAAGCGGCUCCAAUUGUAUCUUGCGAGUAAUGUUAUCACGGCGAAGAACCCUGUCGAUAUCAUCAUUGCGGAUCAUAGCG